rfam:Pteropus alecto contig91965, whole genome shotgun sequence.
GUCUACGGCCAUGCCACCCUGCACAAGCCCGAUCCCGUCUGAUCUCAGAAGCUAAGCAGGGUCAGGCCUGGUUAGUACUUGGAUGGGAGACCAUCUAGAAAGACCAGGUGCUGUAGGCA